UAUGUUUAAGUAUUUUAUGUAUAAAAAUUUUUGAUAUUUUAGGUAAUAGAUUAAUCUAUUAGACAUAU
rnacentral:tRNA from 1 species